rnacentral:tRNA from 1 species
CGCUUCGUCCUUUAACGGUAGGAUGCUCUGUUUUUUUUUGGAGUAAUGCGGGUUCGAAUCCCGUCGAAGCAC